rnacentral:rRNA from 1 species
GACGAACGCUGGCGGCGUGCUUAACACAUGCAAGUCGAGCGGAAAGGCCACUUCGGUGGUACUCGAGCGGCGCACGGGUGAGUAACACGUGAGUAAUCUGCCCCUCACUUUGGGAUAGCCACCUGAAACGGUGAUUAAUACCGGAUAUGACCAUAUGUCGCAUGGCUGGUGGUGGAAAGUUUUUCGGUGAGGGAUGUGCUCGCGGCCUAUCAGCUUGAUGGUGAGGUAAUGGCUUACCAUGGCUUCGACGGGUAGCCGGCCUGAGAGGGUGACCGGUCACACUGGGACUGAGACACGGCCCAGACUCCUACGGGAGGCAGCAGUGGGGAAUAUUGGACAAUGGGCGGAAGCCUGAUCCAGCAACGCCGCGUGAGGGAUGACGGCCUUCGGGUUGUAAACCUCUUUCAGUACCGACGAAGCGCAAGUGACGGUAGGUACAGAAGAAGCACCGGCCAACUACGUG